rnacentral:misc_RNA from 1 species
UCCGGUUUGUCACCGGCAGUCUCAUUAGAGUGCCCUUUCGUAGCAACUAAUGACAAGGGUUGCGCUCGUUGCGGGACUUAACCCAACAUCUCACGACACGAGCUGACGACAGCCAUGCAGCACCUGUGCGCCGGUUCUCUUUCGAGCACUCCUCCGUCUCUGGAGGAUUCCGACCAUGUCAAGGGUAGGUAAGGUUUUUCGCGUUGCAUCGAAUUAAUCCACAUCAUCCACCGCUUGUGCGGGUCCCCGUCAAUUCCUUUGAGUUUUAAUCUUGCGACCGUACUCCCCAGGCGGUCAACUUCACGCGUUAGCUGCGUUACCAAGUCAAUUAAGACCCGACAACUAGUUGACAUCGUUUAGGGCGUGGACUAC